ensembl:lncRNA
GGAAGUAGCUAUUUGGGGCAGGGAAAUGAGAUGGCAGGACUGUCCCUCUGAGAUCAACUCAGCGCUCUGUGGCUCCCUGGAUAAUGGUUCUGUGUGUCCAGCCCAUCCUCCGGUGAGUUUCAGGCAGAAGGAGGGAAGGGGGGAGAGGAUGGGUCGUGGUGGUUAGUUAUCCUGGUAUGAGGCCGGACUGGCCCAGUGGGGGACAGACACCGACAGGAGACCAAGUCCACAGAGGGAGUCACUCCUGGACGUGGUGAGCUCCCCGUCAGAGAAGGCCUGGGAGCUGCCCUGCUCACAGCCAAGCUCCAGGAAGGAACCAGAGAUGAAGGGAGUCCUCUGGACACUGUGGAGCCUGGAGCCAGCGGCCACAAGACCAGUAUGAAAGCCAGAGAGUAUACAUGGCUACCAGUGGGCGCUGGGGGCAGAUUGUUCUCGUCCUUCCAGAGACAGAGCAAGCCGGGCUAGUCCCUUUCUGCAGCGCAUCGAGCCGAAAGCUAAGAAUUCGUUACUUCUCAGGCCUGGGAGGUGAUGUCAGUCAAAGCACCAGCAGCCCUGAGCCAGGCAUCUGCCAUGAGGUCUUGUCCACUCCCAGCAAAGUCCCAUCAGGGCUGCCUCGGUGUUAGGAAGUCCUGGCGCCUUGCUCGUGCCAGCAGGAGGACCAAGGCUUCUCCUUGAGCCCAAUUAAAUGUCAGCAGGAUCAAUCUUCUUUUCUAAUUAUGUUUUUGUGUCAUAUCCCCUGGAGGAGGGCAUGGCAACCCACUCCAGUACUCUUGCUUGGAGAAUCCCCAUGGACAGAGGAGCUGGUGGGCUACAGUCCAUGGGGUCCCAAAGAGUUGGGCAUGACUGAGCAACUGAGCACAAGCACAAUCGCUGUGUGCCAAGCACUGCUUAAGGUGAUUAGACUGUACAUCAGUUUCACUGGACUGUACAUCAGACACAUUAGACCGUAUAUGGUCUGUAUGGUACAGUCUAAUGUUAGACUGCACAUCAGUUAUCG